UUCCAUACACAAUAGAACACUGACUAGUUGUACGUGUUGGUAGUAUACAUUUAUUAGUUAUACUUUUUAUUUCUAUGGCAUUUGUAUAUAAAUGUUGUCCCAAAAAAUUGUAGCUUAGUACUUAUACUUUUUAUAUCUAUGAGAUCCCUGUAUAAAUGUUCUUUGCAGCUAUGUGCACAUUCUCAUGCUAGAUUUCCCUAGUAACUAUUCUUAAUUAUUAUAGGACCAGCAACCAUUUAGAGAAAUUCAUGGGACAUAUCUAAAGUACCUAUUUGAUGGUCUACAUUCCAUUGCUAUUACUAGUUUAACCAAAAACCAAAAAUUUUAAUAGAAAAGAAGUUAUUGUGAUUUUUCUAUUGUUUUUGAAAUGAAACCAUGUGGUAUUGAUUUAUGAGAUUAUUCAGGUCUUAUGGCACUGUUUAAAAACUGCAUCAUUGAUUUAGAUUUUAAAGAUAAAUGCAAUGUUCAUGUCUACAACCUAUUGCUCAUAUUUUUAAUCUUAGCAACUAUGCUUUGAAAGUUAGUGUAAAAAAUCCUUAACAUUUAGGGGAACAAAUGAAAUCUAAGCAGUAAGCAUUAUUGAUGUUCAUGCCUAUAAUAUAGUCUAGUUAUUGUGAUAUAUCUAUUGCUUUUGAAAUGAAAUCAAAUGGUAUUGAUUUAUGAGAUUAUUGAAAUCUUAUGGUAUUAUUUGAAAAGUUCAUAGUUAGCCAAAUGAAUCAGCACAACAACUUGUCAUAGCUAUAUGUUCCUCCAUAGAACUGAAAGUUUGGCAAAUAAGUGCUUUUUAGAAACACUCUUGUUUUUGUUUUAAAAAAUUCUGAUUUUGAUACGGAUUGACAAUGUGAUUGUGGUUUUGUCUUGCAGAGUAUCUUUUGCACGGGACAAUCUUCUAGCUUCGACAUGCUGGCUGCUCAAGCUGGCAUUGGGAGCUGGCAUUGGGAUCGCAGGACAUGGAGUAAAUGCACAACACAUAUGUAAUUGAAGGCUCUUUGCUGCUGCUCAGAAAACACAUCCUGUUCUCUUCUAAAUACCCACUUUUGCACUCUCCGAUAAAUGGUUGCAAGGGAAAAUGGCUACCUCUCACACGAUCUAUGCUGGCUGCUACAUAGAUCAGAAAAUAUAGAACCAGCGGCUACUUUGCGAUGCUUGAUUCUUGGCCAGGUGACUUUUGACAAAAUUCGAG